ACUAUAAAUUUAUCACCAAAUGCAACACAACAUCACAUCCAAAAACACUCAACAAAAUUUUAACUUCAAAGCAUGGGUAGGAAAAUACUUGUUUUUCUUUUGGUUGUAAUUGUUCUCAUAAUGUCCCCCCAACCCCAAGUAGCUUUUGCCAGGAAGCUUGUGGGGAAUACCAACACCAAAACCGAGGCGAAGAAGAAGACAUCAUCCAUCCCCUAUAAAACAUUAACUCCACAUUCCAAACCCCACCGCAAGUGUGGCUACCUCAAACUUUGCAGGCGCAACGGCGGAGGCAGGCCUCCUGCAGCCAAACCUUGACUACUCCAAGCCCCAACAACCAAAUGCUUCCAUCACAAUAUAAGUUAAAUAAUUUCAAAUAAACUGUACUACUGUGUGUAUGAUUAUCUCAAUAUAUGUAUGUUAUUUUAACGAAA